GACGAACGCUGGCGGCGUGCUUAACACAUGCAAGUCGAACGGUGAAGCGCCUUCCUUUUUGGUGGGUGUGGAUGAGUGGCGAACGGGUGAGUAACACGUUAGUAACCUGCCCCCUUCUUCUGGAUAACCGCAUGAAAGUGUGGCUAAUACGGGAUAUUCUGGGUCUGUCGCAUGAUGGGUCUGGGAAAGAUAUUGUUUCGGUGGGGGAUGGGCUCGCGGCCUAUCAGCUUGUUGGUGGGGUGAUGGCCUACCAAGGCGGUGACGGGUAGCCGGCCUGAGAGGGUGGACGGUCACACUGGGGCUGAGACGCCGCCACGACUCCUACGGGAGGCAGCAGUGAGGAAUAUUGCACAAUGGGCGCAAGCCUGAUGCAGCGACGCCGCGUGAGGGAUGGAGGCCUUCGGGUUGUGAACCUCUUUCGCCAGUGAAGCAGGCCUGCCUCGUUUGUGGGUGGGUUGACGGUAGCUGGAUAAGAAGCGCCGGCUAACUACGUG
rnacentral:rRNA from 1 species